rnacentral:rRNA from 1 species
ACUGCCGGCGACAAGCCGGAGGAAGUGGGGAUGACGUCAAGUCAUCAUGGCCCUUAUGUCCAGGGCGACACACGUGCUACAAUGGCCGGCACAGCGGGAAGCGAGGGGGCGACCUUGAGCGGAUCCCUCAAAGCCGGUCUCAGUUCGGAUUGCAGUCUGCAACUCGACUGCAUGAAGUUGGAAUCGCUAGUAAUCGUGGAUCAGCCAAGCCGCGGUGAAUACGUUCCCGGGCCUU